rnacentral:lncRNA from 1 species
ACCUAAUAACAUUUCAGUCUUCUUCUCUUUUUAGUCGAGCAUUUCCAAUCUCAAAUAUACUCUUUCCAUAAUCCUCGCAGACACGUCCUCAUUUCAUGAUCAUAAUCUUCUUGUUUUCUAGUGCCCAAACCAGCUUCAAUCUCUAAUUGCCAAGUCUUAAACCGGCUCUUAAUCCGCUCAACAUUUCUUGGGCUUGCAAUCUCCUCCUUUUUGUCUGCACGUGUCCCCUCAUUUCUCAACCUGUAAAACAUGGUAAACCAUCUC